AACGAACGCUGGCGGCAGGCUUAACACAUGCAAGUCGAACGCACCGCAAGGUGAGUGGCAGAGGGGUGAGGAACACGUGGGAACAUCCCCUUCAGUUCGGAAUAACUCAGGGAAACUUGAGCUAAUACCGGAUACGUCCGUGAGGAGAAAGAUUUAUCGCUGAAGGAAUGGCCCGCGUCUGAUUAGCUAGUUGGUGAGGUAACGGCUCACCAGGGCUACGAUCAGUAGCUGAUCUGAGAGGAUGAUCAGCCACAUUGGGACUGAGACACGGCCCAAACUCCUACGGGAGGCAGCAGUGGGGAAUAUUGGACAAUGGGCGCAAGCCUGAUCCAGCCAUGCCGCGUGAGUGAUGAAGGCCUUCGGGUUGUAAAGCUCUUUUGUCCGGGAAGAUAAUGACUGUACCGGAAGAAUAAGCCCCGGCAAACUUCGUGCCAGCCGCCGCCGUAA
rnacentral:rRNA from 1 species